GACCAUUGCACAAUGGUCCGAAUCCACGUUUUAGCAGGAAAAAAAUCCGUAUCUCUGUUUUCGUUAAUUUUAGGCAUUUGGUGUCUUCAGAGAAGUUGUUUGAAUUUGUUUGCUGCAUCUUUUCCAAAAAUUUUUGAUUAGGGUGGUCCUCGUCUUAACUCAAAUCUGGAAUAGAACUUUUAAAUUGCAAGUCAUACGCGAUCGAGUUCUUCAGCAAAGUUGUAGGCAAUGCUAUUUUGAGCAACUUUGCCGAAUACGCCGUUUAUCUAGCUCUCAAUUUGAACAUAGUAGGUCAAUUUUAAGUUUUGACUUAGGGUGAGCCACCCAAAAACGGUUUUUUCGCAAUAACUUUUUUAUUUGAUUUUUUUCGAAGAUGUGAGCUUCGGAGCAUUUGCAGAGCAAGUAAUGACGCAUAUUUGUUCUGAACAUUGCACGUUGCUAGGUCUUGUCAUUCAAAUGUUAUGGGCAAUUUUGACUUAAAAUCAACGAUGUCUUCAAAUGCUUAUAUCUCUAGGAGCUGGUAAAAUAAAAAAAGUUCUUUAAGCGGCAUUUGGAAGGUCACAUAUAAAGCCAAAUUUGGAGCAAAUAUUACAAGAACGUUAUUUUUGAAAUUGGAAUAAAUCGACUCCAAAAAAAACCCUUAAAAAUUGAAAAAACUACUAAUAAUUCAUACAAUUUCAAACAUAGAGUCAAACUGUCUUCGGGAAAAAUGUAGGUUUUUACCAUGCCUACAAGUUUUCCAUACACGAUUUUUUUUGCAAAACGUGAAACAAAAGCUUGAAAUUGAUAAUUUGAUUCUUAGGGGUCGCCAGAAUCGAGCAGAUAGCCCGAUGUGUCAACAAUGCCCCAACAGCGUCGACGAUCUAGAGCAUAAAUUUACCGCAUGCCGGCGAAAAAAUGCUUUGUGGAAACAUCUUCGACCAAGGUUGGAAACAACUCUAGGUAGGAGGAUUAGAUUCAACGACCUCCGGUUUCCAGAACUGGAAAACGUUGCCAGCAGAAGGAAGUAUCAGGCGCUAAAGAUAUUUAUUACAUACAUAAAUUUUAUUUUAGAUGCCAGUAACAAUCUUUCCGUUGAUUCGUUAGAGUUUGUUUUAAAUAGUUUGUAAAUCUGUUUUUGUAAAAAUUCGACUAGCUAAAUAAAGUUCCAGUAAAUGUGUUUUAAAAAAGGGGGUACAUGCUAUGUUUUUCUAGGAAAUCAGAACGAUUAUAUUCUUUAAAAACAAAUUAUCAAUUUCAAGCUUUUGUUUCACGUUUUUCAAAAAAGUCGUGUAUUGGAAACUUUUAGGUAUGGUGAAAACCCACAUUUUUUUCCGAAGACAGUUUGACUCUAUCUUUAAAAUUGUAUGAGUUAUAAGUAAUUUUUCGAUUUUUAAGGGGAUUUUUGGAGUCGAUUUAUUCCAAUUUAAAAAAAUAACGUUCUUGUAAAAUUUGCUCCACAUUUGGCUUUAUAUGUGACCUUCCAAAUGCCGCUUAAAGAACUUUUUUUAUUUUACCAGCUCCAUGAGAUAUAAGCAUUUGAAGACAUCGUUGUUUUUAAGUCAAAAUUGCCCAUAACAUUUGAAUGACAAGACCUAGCAAUGUGCAAUGUUCAGAACAAAUAUGCGUCAUUACUUGCUCUGCAAAUGCUCCGAAGCUCACAUCUUCGAAAAAAAUCAAAUAAAAAAGUUAUUGCGAAAAAACCGUUUUUGGGUGGCUCACCCUAAGUCAAAACUUAAAAUUGACCUACUAUGUUCAAAUUGAGAGCUAGAUAAACGGCGUAUUCGGCAAAGUUGCUCAAAAUAGCAUUGCCUACAACUUUGCUGAAGAACUCGAUCGCGUAUGACUUGCAAUUUAAAAGUUCUAUUCCAGAUUUGAGUUAAGACGAGGACCACCCUAAUCAAAAAUUUUUGGAAAAGAUGCAGCAAACAAAUUCAAACAACUUCUCUGAAGACACCAAAUGCCUAAAAUUAACGAAAACAGAGAUACGGAUUUUUUUCCUGCUAAAACGUGGAUUCGGACCAUUGUGCAUUGUUUGAGAUCCCUGGCCUGAGGAAACCUGCCAUAUUUUGUCCUCUUCUUCUUUUUUAGGGAUUUUAUUUCCUCGGGGAAACAUUUCUCCUGAGCCAAACGCACUAGUAACAUUUUUGCGAUGUUGAUCUCCUGGGCAGUCAAAAAUACUUGAGCGAUACGCUGGUUCGGUCGCCGACAGUUGGUUGCAAAUCGUAAACAGUGAACAACCAGUCUGACCAACGGAAGUAGUGAGGAUCGAAGUGCGAAUAAGAAGUUCGGCUAUACAGCUAUUGUAUUUGUUUGAAUCACGAUUCGGCGUUCCAUAUCUAUAUCGUCUAGAGAUGUUUCAGAAGAUUCGAUCGACCAUUUGGAUGGUCCCAAGUAACACAACUUGUUGCAUAAUAGUUAUAAAUUCUCUUAUAAUACUUAUUCAGUAGUAAUUUUCGUGUUAUAUCGACUUAAAACCGAGCACCUAUAUAAUCAAAACAGCGCAAAAAAUGGCGGCUUAUAAAACAUCUUACAAGUUAUAUAAGAUGUAUUUCAAUACAUUUAUAGUACUAAAAAUGUUGUCUGCGGUUUAUUAUUAGUUAUAAUUUAGUUGUUUGUCAUCAAAUGAAACAUGCAAUAAUCGGAAAAUAUACAACCCCAAUUGCUGGUUGAAAUUAAGCUGCUUUCAAGUAAUAUAACUUUCAGACGACAUUUAUAUUUCAUACCAUAUACAUAAGCUGUUAUCCUGAUAUUUGAUAAUGAUAUAACUUGCAGAAAACAUUUAUAUAACAAACACAUAAGUGAAAUAAUGCGAAGCAGAUAAACUGACAGAAAACAAAAUUGAACAAAUUCAAUUUUUAAAUCUGUGUAAAAAAAACAAACAGAUGGCUUUCCCAGCUCGAAAAAUGAUGUCUUGUGAUGCAUUAGAUUACAUUUCAUAAACUAUUCAGAUAACAAGUUCUGAAAUAGAUUUUACUCAGUGGAGGUAGUGAUGAUUUACGUGCGCUUUAAGAUUUAUGGUGAAACAUUUAUUUUUACUUCUCCAUAAAUCAAGCGCCACUCAGUUGAAUUUAAAAUGCAACAUGAUUCUACCAAAUAAUAACGCUUAAUGAAGAAAUAUUUCAAAACCACGCGCAAAGCAAUAUGGCAGCUUGCUCAGACUCACAGUGCUGUUCAAAUUUUUUGGAACAAUUUCAAUAAAAAUUUUGAUUGAACAUCCGAUUUGAAUUAUCACGAUUUUCAUGCCAUUUAAAUGAUGUAAAUAUCAUGAUAUUACCCAAACUGAAAUAUGUGAAAUUGUUUUUAAGAACAAUUGGCAAAUCGGGGAAAAUAAGAAUUUGAAUUUGUUUCAAAUUUUUAUCCACGCAAUGACUUGUAUGCAUAAGCAUUACCGGCACUGUAGUCUGCAUGCCAAUUCGUAUUCGCAACAUCAAAUAGAACAAACACUUGUUGAUAGGUUUCAAAUUACGUUUAUAACACGUCUUGGUAGCAUUUAUUCAACAUAUGCACUCAAAAGUUUCUUUGUUUGUUUUAUUGCAUUCAUUACAACACUAAAAUAACUAUAUUAUAACUUAUUCUCCAGUAAGGCAAACUGUGCCAAAUGUCAAAAUGUUGUUGUCAUUUGUUUUUGUUUUGUUCAUGGCCCUUGGAAUUUCAGGAAUACAUUGCCUAAUUAUCGACAAUUUACCCGCGCUACGCGUCCGAAACAAUCCAUUAUUAGACGGAUUCCGCGAGUGUUUCCUUAAAUCCAUGCGGAAGAAAAUAACGGUGAAGACAUGGUCACAGUGCAGUUCACAUCCGCUGGCGGAAUAUUUUGCACAGCCAACAGCUCUUCUCAGUGCUAGCACUCGUAAAGUGUAAUAAAGAAUCACACCAGCAAGCUGAAAAAUCUGUACGCUGGAGGUACGCUGUAGUUUGAAGUUCAUGGAAUUCCGAAAGUUUAUUCUGGUGCAUCGCUGAAUACGUUCGGUCUACCGUUUUGGCGUUGCGGGUGGAGUGUGAUGCUUAGCACACCCGAUAUAAUGAAUGUGGAAGCUAUCUGGAAUUGAUAUUUAUUGCAAAGUGUUGUGCAAUUAUGUCGGCUUUGUGCAACUAUGAAUAGCAUGUCGGACUGGAUUAUUUGAGAGAUGAUUGAUUGUUUAAUAAUCUUAAUUAAAAUAAUAGGUACUCCAAAACAAAAAUCAAAAAUAAAAAGUAAGUAGUGCGUCUUAAAAGAAUAUAAACACCGGUUGCUUUCACGAUAACCUUGUGUUAUGAUGGUGUAUUAAUGUUAUUUAUUGUAUUAUCAGUGCAUUUAAUGCAUAAUAAUACCGGUGAAAGUCAUAUCAAGGAGAGAAAAUACCAGUGAAAGGAAAAAAACUGUAUUUAUGUUGAUUGUUAUCGGACAACAAAACUAGAGCUUGAUAAUAACUAAAAAUGUUCAGUAAAACGCAUAUAUAACACUUAUGGAACAUAUUUUGGAAUUUUAAUUUUUGAAGAUGUUUUCUGUCUUACUUGGGGUGACUCCUUUAACCAUGAAGGUCCACUUUUCUAGAGGUCGCUGAUCACGAAAUCCUCAACAGGUACUCCUCAGGAAACUAAAUCUGCGGGAUUUUCCUUACCCGCCACCUGCUGCCAUGGGUGUCCAUAAGUUGCAGUCUGGAUGGCAUGGAUGCAACGAACGUUUUUCACGAUUUCAACCAGUGUAAGACGACUGUUGCGUCCGACCAAAAGAUUACAGCCUCUUGCCAAGGAUGCGGACAAAUACUAGACAUAACACACAUACAUACCUGCAGAACAUCUAAGACGUGCGGAUUUGAGAGCAGAACUCGGCGUAGAAGACUCAUUACUGGAAGUAAUGUGCAACGACCCAAACGCUAAGAAAGCGGGUUUAAAGCUGAUUAUGACACUGGGGUUCUAUGGAUAUUAUCUAACUGAUUGGGAGUCUGGUGUUCUAUUAAGCUAAAGGCACCUAGAGGUAAACAGGUAAACAUAUGUCGUUAAGUGACGUUAAUAAAAGUAGCUACAACCCCAAGCUUAGGAGCGCUCUGGAAAUAACUGUCCAACUGACGCCAUUGAACGCAUUCUUUACGUCAAAGGUCACUACUGCACAGAAGCGAGUUUCUCUCCUCUGUCGCUGGAAAGCUGUCUCGGCAGUAUUGGUAACCGACAAGAUAGCGUCCACUCAAAGGGUCAUACCCACCGUUUCGAGCAAGCAUAUUGGUCAAAGAGUCGUUAGGUGGUUUCCCUGCAUUCGACAAUAGGACCAGACUCUGCCUCUUCCUAACCUCCGGGAAAACUGGCUCAUCCAAACAUUUCUACAUUUCAGAUCUGAACAUUUAGGAUGCCUCUUCAAUGGCUACUGUUUGAGUCAGGUUCGAAACUCCAUCGGGACCUGGGGCCUUCAAUACGCUAAGGAAUUCUGCAAUCCCCGCAAGUUCUUCAUCGGUGACCCUUUCUAUAUCGCCCAUCUUAGUCCCGGGCGAUCCUAGGAGUUGCCUCGACCCUGUAAGCGCUACUCCACGGGUGAAGUGCACUCGAGUCUCAGUUUAAUCUCAAUUAAAACAUUGGAAUAGUAGGUAAUUGAAUAAAGUCAAAGGAAAAAGUUUGAAUGAAUCAGUUUUAAGAGUUUCUACUCAUUUGUGCUUACAAAUGAGUAACCUAUCUUGCAGCUCGAAUCGAACAACCCAUUUAUUCAAUUACUUCACCAAAAGGAUCUGAACUUGCUACGAUGAAUCAGAGCUCGUAAAAUUUAGCUAUAAUUGCUCACAAGCACUUGAACGUGCCUUCCUACCUCUGAUGGUGAGGCAAUAAUCUAAACAUAUAAGGCUUAUUCACGAUCGCUUUCGGACAGAGUCCCUCGAAACGAAAUUUUCAUUCUGAUAUUUGCCAGCUUGCACACGUGCUACUACAGCAGCUAGCUAGCUAGCUAGCAGCCGCCAAGUGUUCUCCGGUUGCGGAAAACGAACUCCAGUAUCAGCUGUACCGUGCCGUGUCCGCCCAAGUACCUAUAGGGUGGAUAAUGCCGAAGUAUCGCCGCCAUCGCCGGAUCUCAGUCAGUCCGAAGCAGUUUCAACAUCGUCGAUUUCGAUUUCCUUCUUAUUUCUUUCAAUUAACUCUCUUGCAGUUCAGUCAGACGGACGGGUUUUAGAUCUAGAGUUUAUGUGUGCUGUUUGUUGGUGCUUCCAUCCAGCCAGCAAUGGUAAAACCUCACCGCCUCGCCGCUGACUAUAAAUACAUAAGACAAGGUCGAUGCGAACGAGAAAAAGGUCAAACAUAAUUCCGAGCCCCACAAGAGUAUGGUACACGGACGACGCGACGGUAGGUACAUAUGCCCGGUUGCGGUAGACACAACAGUUUGUGGGUCUUUUUAUGUUGGAGAGGUGUUUUGGUUGUAGCACUUUAUGGCCUGACGGCAGCGGUGUCAAGUGGUGUUCAAUUUGGUGAAUUGAAAUUUAAAUUCAACCUCGUUGUUGUGUUUUUAAA